AUUGCUUUUUACUCAUGGUUUCACCAUAGGAACAGAAACCCUAACUAAGACAAGUUGGUAUCAGGAGUGGGGUGUUGUAGUGACAGAACUGACCGUGUUGUUUUGGGGAUGCUUGUGGAAGGACUUUGGAAUUUUGUGCAAGAAAAAUUGAGUGUUGAGUGCCUGGUGAGCUGUUCUGUGGGAACUUGGAAGAUAAGGAGGUCGAGAGCAAAGCAGAAGGCAGAAGCUUGGCUUGUAAAGUUUCAGAGGAAAGUUUAAAGACUCUAUGAGGACCAUUUGUUACUUUGAAUAAAAAAAUUCUGUGAUUCUGAUUUGCCAGGGUUGGAGAAUCAGCUGUGACUUAUAAGAUACCAGAACUACUGAAGUGAAACCUUGGCUUUGCUGGAACACUCGAUAUUGGUUGGCUGGAGUUGAGAAAUAAAUUGUGAUAAACAAGAGACCAGCAAUGUUGAGGUGAAAUCUGGAGAGUGUUUCCCGGGGAGAGCCAUCACACAGAAGCUGUGUUCAGAGGUGGCCAAAGUUGUACCUUGAUCUGGUAGCUCAAGGUGUAAGAGUUACCAGGUGGUACUGGUUUUGAAGGCCUGAAGGGGUCAUGGGAGAGCUGUGCUUGACGCUGUGAGAGGCCAGGAGAGGUCAUUGGUAAAAAUGCAGCUUCAGUAGCAGUUAAAGGCUCAGGGUUGAAGGGGUCAUGCAAAGAAGUUGAAGCUUGGCACCACGAAAAGAGCCAAAUGAGAGGCUAUUGGUAAAAAGGCAGCCCAGUUGCCACAAAAGACCCUAGUGUUUUGGAGACACCGGCACAAUGGGAUGGCCACCAAGAACAGCAGCAGCAGCAGUGGAGGGGAGCCAGCCUGAAUCUAGAAGACAGGCUGUGCAUGCUGCAGGGGAUGGAGCUGGAGAAGUGACCCAAGUCCAGAAGACUGAGUAAAUCCCAGAAUUCUACAGUUGAGAGACUUUAAACUUUUGAAGAAGAGAUUUUGGGGCUUUAAGGAGAAUUUGGAUUUUAAGAGACUUGAUAUUUUUAAAGAGACAAUUUAUAGCAUGUUUCAAAUGACUGAGCUAAUAGCCCAGCAAAAUUGAUUGAAUACAGCUGAGCCACAGGAGCCUCCACCAUCAGUCUAGAAGCCCAGAGAGCAGAGACAAGUCUGCUUGAAAGCCUCCAACAGGAAACCGAGAAACAGCUCUUCCAGUCUCUAGAAGCCAGGGACAACAGGCUACAUCAGCUGUCUUCUUUUGCCUGGACUGUGUAUGAACUCUGAGAAAAAGAACUUAUCGACAGUAUCUGUGAUGUUAGCCAGAGUGGCUCACGUCUGUAAUCUCAGCACUUCGAGAACAUGGGCAGAACCAUUACUGUAAGCUUGGGGGCCAGCCAGAGUGUUUACAGAGUGAGACCCCUGACUCAAACACAUUGAAAGAGAAACAAAGCAAAGCAGGAUUGUGCGUGUGCCUGUGUGUGUUAGCAUACACCAUCCCUGCCUCCACCCUCCUCUCUGCAUAGCCCGCGUGUGUCCUGUUUAACAAAAUGGGUCCCUUGGUACACAAGGGACACCAGGGAUCAGUUUUCUUAGGAAAUGGGACAUGGUUGUGUUCACUAAAUAAGCAAAGUAAGCCAGGUGUCCUGGCACAUACCUUUAAUCCCGGCAGAGGCAGGUGGAUCUCUAGGAGUUUGAGGCCAGUCUGGGUUACAUAGGGAGUUCCAGGACAGCCAGGGCUGUGUAGAGGGACCCUAUCUCCAAAAACAAAAAUAAAAAAUAAAACAAAAAAUAAACAAGGUAGGAUAGAUCAGAGCUUUUAAAGUGAACGAGUUUGAGGGAUGAGGGUGUGGGCAGAGAGAACCGCAAUCAAGAUCAAAGUGAUUUAGAUCAUAUUGGGGAAGGCAUCUGGGUGCUGUAGGGAAGGACCCACUGGGUUCCUAGGCUGCCUCUCCUACAAGGGGGGAUAGCUCUGGGUUGUGUGGCUUGCUGCUUUCAGUCUCCAAUCUCUUAGUCAGCAUACCUUGUUGUCAGCUGUUCAUGCACAUUCAGCCACAUGGGGCCUUCCAUUGACUCCCUCCUAGAGCUUCUUCCCAUGGCCAAGUUAGCUUUCAUGGCAUGCCUAAGACGCCCCAGAGGGACAACUGUUGCAUAUUUGACAUGGUCUGCUGCUAUUGGAUUAGAGGCUCACAGAGGACUUACUCAGACAUAUCACACAGGAGAGAACACCUUGGUGACUAAAGCGCUCUUGGCCACAGUGCCCAAAUACUCUUCAACUCAGAUCAUAUUUCAAGCGAAAGGUCUCAUGUGUCUUUGGCUUCAGACUUGUGUGAUCUUGUCACUCUUUGGGUCACGGGCUGUCAUCAUUUGUUCAUUUAAUUCACUCAUUUGACUUCGUUUCAUAGUUUAUUUGUGUCUUCGCUCUUCUGUCGGGAGGAGACACAGUGACAAUACACAGUUGCCCUCUCUAUAUUUCUAGGAUCACAUUUAAGACUUAAGUCCUUGGCGUCAUCUUUGGUUUUCCCCUCUUCACUGGUUAGUGUCUCUUCUCACUCUGCUAUGUCCAUCCAGAAGAUUCUUUCAUACUUAGCACACCCUGAAGUGCUUUCAUCUCACUGAUGAGUCUUGUCUAUUUCCCACAUCAGCUUUUCUAUUGUUGCCUUUUUGAGUCAUCUUUAGCUCUAUCCCAGAUAAGGUUUUCUGGACCUGUCUUUUUUUACUUACCACAUGUUGGAGUGUACUCCAGCGCCAGUGAGUCCCUGAUCGCUUUUCAGACUCUGCUGCAUCUUCAUGCUGUUAGGACUUUUGAAAAACCAAGGUUAUACCUUUCUUGUUGAAUCUGCACCUACCUUGACAUUUUGCCCAUUCUCCCCACCUGAGAUAUUCGAGUUCAAAUCUUACCCUUCCUGAGAAACCCUCCCUGGUUCCUCCAACUUGGCUCUGUAUCCAUUGCAAACUUGAAUGUACAUUAAAAGCAUACUACACACUCAAGGGGAAUUUGUUUAUAUUAUUAACUUAUGACUUAGCAAAAUCAGGUUCAUAUGGGGACAUGUGUUAAUGCUACUCAGUGGGGGAUUUGCCAAGGGCCUGAGCUGAAAUAUGCAUUUAUUUCUUCAUUUAUUCAGUCUCCAAGGACUGGCCUGAGAGGGAUCAGAGACAAAGAAACUUAGCAGUAAGGUGUGAAGGCUGAGUAGUAAGGAAAGAUCCUUAGGGUGGGUUGACAAAUCCUCUGUAGAAAUAGAGAUGGUUGAACUAUAGCUGGAAGGGUAAAUAGCUGUAUUAAUAAUUCUAAGUUUCUUUGUCCACAUCUUGAAGCCAGGAUAUUUUUUUGAUCCAUGUAUACAUUUAAUAUACCAAUGUUUCUGUCCAACCCCCAAGCUUGAAACUGUAGGCAUCAUCACACCCAACUGAAUACCAUAUAUCUGAACAGUACUCAGGAGGCUGAGGCAAGACGGUCAUGAGUUUGAGGCCAGCCUGGGCUAGAAUGUAGUACAAAGACAAAGAAAAAAUAUUACUGUAGUGAGAUUCUGGAGGUUGUACAAUAUAUUUUCACUUUAAAAAAUGCUAGGUUUGGGGUUGCAAUGUGUUUGUUCCCAAGUGCUGCUUUGAGAAAUCAAUGUGAUGUUCUCUCAUGGUUCUGCAGGCCAUCAAUGCAAGCGUAUCUUAAAGACGUGAAACCAAGAUGGCAGCAUAUCUGAUAAUUUCUAGGGACUAUGGGUGGGUCUAGUCCGUGUCUUUUCCAGCUUCUAGAGGCCUCCUGCAUUCCUGGACUUUAGGCCCCUUCUUCCAGUUUACUUCUGUUAUCCCUGGCCUUCUGACUCUGACUCCUAUAGGAGCCAGCCAUGAUAUGAACAGAUCACCCAAAGGAAGUUUUUACUUCCAACCAUUAUCACCUGCCAGUGUAGGACUCGGGCAUCGAUAAGUUUAAUAGAGGCCCGAGUCUCAGUAGUUUACCCUGAAGCAAUACCUGGUGGCAGAAAGGACCAUAAAUUAAGAUUCCCUGAGCACCACUCAAGAACAGACCAUCCAAAGGAAAUGCCUAAUGUUCCAACCGCUGUAGAUAGGAUCACCUGCCAGAACACACUCACCAGGAUACCCCUAGACAAAUGUCAGCCAAUCAGCGGUCCUGAAGCUCAGAAACCCCUCAGUCCCACGUUUAUUACUAUAAAAACCCAACUCUAACUGAGCUCAGGGCUCUCCGUUUAUUCCAAUACAUUGGACAUGCGGAGAGACUGAGUUUGCAAACUUGCAUAAAAUAAAGGCUCUUUGCUUUUACAUGUAGCACUCAGUCUCCUUGUUGGCUUUUGGGGGACUUUGCAGAUUUGGGCAUAACAACUCCCCUCCUUCCAAUCAGAGCCAC